AGUGAACGCUGGCGGUAGGCCUAACACAUGCAAGUCGAACGGCAGCACAGUAAUAGCUUGCUCUUACGGGUGGCGAGUGGCGGACGGGUGAGGAAUACAUCGGAAUCUACUUUUUCGUGGGGGAUAACGUAGGGAAACUUACGCUAAUACCGCAUACGACCUACGGGUGAAAGCAGGGGAUCUUCGGACCUUGCGCGAUUGAAUGAGCCGAUGUCGGAUUAGCUAGUUGGCGGGGUAAAGGCCCACCAAGGCGACGAUCCGUAGCUGGUCUGAGAGGAUGAUCAGUCACACUGGAACUGAGACACGGUCCAGACUCCUACGGGAGGCAGCAGUGGGGAAUAUUGGACAAUGGGCGCAAGCCUGAUCCAGCCAUACCGCGUGGGUGAAGAAGGCCUUCGGGUUGUAAAGCCCUUUUGUUGGGAAAGAAAAGCAGCAGGUUAAUACCCCGCUGUUCUGACGGUACCCAAAGAAUAAGCACCGGCUAACUUCGUG
rnacentral:rRNA from 1 species